rnacentral:lncRNA from 1 species
AGAGAACUACAAGUCUUUGACUUAAACCACUCAAGCCAGAAAAUGUCCAACUUCAGUUCACCAUCUAAAAUUCCAAAAAUCCAGGAUCCAGAGGCGGACAGGAUCUGUGAAAGACUGCAGCUACUUGCUUACAAAUGCCGUGACCCAGCAGCCAACCAAGCAGAGACGGCCCAACAACUUUGUACAGUGGCCACUGACAUAAUGGCAAUGAUGUCUCGAUGCACCAAGCAAAAUGCUGGACUUCAGCAAACCAUAAAAAUGUUAAGGAAAGAAAGAGAAGAACUGCUGGAAGAGAUCACAAAAGCGAAGGCAGCAAGUGAAGCAAUAGCUGCAACAGCUGCUUUCUGCAAAGAUGAACAGCAAGAGUCAUCUACACAAACGCCAGAUCCACUGGAGGAUGAUGAACACACAGACCAGACCCAAGAUGACAGCACAUGAUGAAGACGUCUAAACAUCAUUACACCAACAGAACCCGAACAAUAACUUUUCUUGCAUAAUCACCACAAACAAAAACAAAAACCACUGUAAAUGUAUAUACUUUUUUUUUACUUUUGCAUGUUUCAUUUAUUUUUUAUGUGUAUUUUAAAGUUUAAUAUUUAAGUAUGUGCACUUCUCUUUUUUUGUUAUCUCUUU